rnacentral:lncRNA from 1 species
AAGAGUUAUUGCCUGAGUAGGGGAGUGGUGUGAACAAUGUCUGAUGCUACUUGCUAUGGGUUUUUUUGUGUCUUUAUUUCAGUAAUUUUAUAUAUAUAAUAUAAUACAUGUGCAGAUCUCCUCACUUGUGUUGCUAGCUUCUAGCUGGCCUUACAUCUUUUCAUGAGUCUGUCCACAAGAGCAACAAGAAUUUUUCAGCUGCCUGUGUGCUAAUAGAACAGUGCUAUGAGAAUCACUUGUGGAAUUGAUGUCAGAAUUAGAUCAACCAG